rfam:Myotis davidii contig148401, whole genome shotgun sequence.
GGCAGUUCUUGGGUGAUGCAUCCUGGAAUUGAGCUCCCUCCUCUCUGGGUCUGGGUGUGUCACCCAGGAACCACA